AAUUUUCCAAAUUUGCAUAAAAAGUAUUCCAGAUUAUUCAAAAUGACCAUCUAGAGGUGUUUCAAUGUGUUUGGAACAUUUUUUCCAACGGUCAUCAAUGCCCCCUGGUGAUCAAAAAUGGUAAGGCUAUAGUAUGUGCAUCAAAAGUUGGAAUUUUGGAAAAUUUUCCAAAUUUGCA